GCCAGGUAUGGUGGCUCACACCUGUAGUCCCAGUUACUCGGGAUGCUGAGGUAGGAGGAUCGCUUUAGCCCAGGAGAUUGAGGCUGCAGUGAGCUGUGAUCCCAUCACUGCACUCCCACCCUGGGCAAUAGAGUGAGACCCUGUCUCUU
rnacentral:SRP_RNA from 1 species